rnacentral:rRNA from 1 species
AGUGAACGCUGGCGGUAGGCCUAACACAUGCAAGUCGAACGGCAGCACAGUAAGAGCUUGCUCUUACGGGUGGCGAGUGGCGGACGGGUGAGGAAUACAUCGGAAUCUACUUUUUCGUGGGGGAUAACGUAGGGAAACUUACGCUAAUACCGCAUACGACCUACGGGUGAAAGCAGGGGAUCUUCGGACCUUGCGCGAUUGAAUGAGCCGAUGGCGGAUUAGCUAGUUGGCGGGGUAAAGGCCCACCAAGGCGACGAUCCGUAGCUGGUCUGAGAGGAUGAUCAGCCACACUGGAACUGAGACACGGUCCAGACUCCUACGGGAGGCAGCAGUGGGGAAUAUUGGACAAUGGGGGCAAGCCUGAUCCAGCCAUACCGAGUGGGUGAAGAAGGCCUUCGGGUUGUAAAGCCCUUUUGUUGGGAAAGAAAAGCAGCAGGUUAAUACCCCGCUGUUCUGACGGUACCCAAAGAAUAAGCACCGGCUAACUUCGUG